rnacentral:rRNA from 1 species
UACGAAGGAUGCGAGCGUUAUCCGGAUUUAUUGGGUUUAAAGGGUGCGUAGGCGGCCUAUUAAGUCAGGGGUGAAAUACGGUGGCUCAACCAUCGCAGUGCCUUUGAUACUGAUGGGCUUGAGUCCAUUUGAAGUGGGCGGAAUAAGACAAGUAGCGGUGAAAUGCAUAGAUAUGUCUUAGAACUCCGAUUGCGAAGGCAGCUCACUAAGCUGGUAUUGACGCUGAUGCACGAAAGCGUGGGGAUCGAACAGG